CCCGCAGAAACCCGCCAUCAUAUUAGAACGAGAGGUUGAAUUGUUUACACAUUUGACGUCCUGUUCUUUUGGCUUUACGAGUUGCACAAUUUUAUAACAGACCUUCGUUUGAUACAUGAUACCGUGAUCAUGAUCCUAAAUAGAUUUCGAGGAUUAGGUUUGUCUACAAUACGAGAUACCCAAAAGUUGACAGUUUUAAGAUCUGCUGUACUGUCAAGCAAGCCAUACUGUAGUAGUGUGGAGAGGAAAUCACCCAUCACAGAUGAAACAGAUGAAAGCCAUUAUACAGUUCCUCAACAUCAUCUCUCAUAUUUGGAUAAAAUUACCUUAAAAUUGUUUGGAAACAUCAAAGGUGAAAUUCCAUCUGAAGUCAGUUAUGCAGUGAUGGAGAAAGCAGAUUCAAAACGCCGUAUUGCCAUCAACCUCUUCUUGGUUGCAUUCUGUGGAUUUGGAUCCAUGAUUGUUGUGUAUAAUGUGAAGAAGAACCUACAAAAUGACACUCAACAGAACAUUUAUGCUCAGAAUAGUCAAAGAUACCAACAAGAAGAGAAAUAAACAAACAUCAUUUUAUUAUUCUACAAUAGUUUAGAACACUGUACAUAGUUAUAAAAUAGUUAUUCUCUAUUGUUAUG